rnacentral:rRNA from 1 species
GAAACUACGCCUACAUGAAGCUGGAAUUGCUAGUAAUCACAGGUCAGCAUACUGUGGUGAAUACGUUCCCGGGCCUUGUACACACCGCCCGUCACACCAUGAGAGUUGAGAAUACCCGAAGCCCAUGUCAAAGUGGUCGAAGGUAGGCUUGAUGAUUGGGGUGAAGUCGUAACAAGGUAGC